GAUGAACGCUAGCGACAGGCUUAACACAUGCAAGUCGAGGGGCAGCGGUGGAGAGAGCUUGCUCUCUUCAGCCGGCGACCGGCGCACGGGUGAGUAACACGUAUGCAACCUGCCCUUGACACUGGGAUAACCCGGAGAAAUCCGGACUAAUACCGGGCGAUACCUCUGGAGGACAUCCUCCGGAGGUCGAAGGAAGCGAUUCCGGUCAAGGAUGGGCAUGCGGCGCAUUAGCUGGUUGGCGGGGUAACGGCCCACCAAGGCGACGAUGCGUAGGGGUUCUGAGAGGAAGGUCCCCCACAUUGGUACUGAGACACGGACCAAACUCCUACGGGAGGCAGCAGUGAGGAAUAUUGGUCAAUGGGCGCGAGCCUGAACCAGCCAAGUCGCGUGAGGGAAGACGGCCCUACGGGUUGUAAACCUCUUUUGUCGGGGAGCAAGGACUGCC
rnacentral:rRNA from 1 species